GAUAGCGAAGAAGUUAAUAAGGAAUUUAAGUAGCAAUCCCAAACACCCCCUAAACUGGUUGUCGAAUCCAUGGCUGAUCCCGAUUGCAGGCAGGGAGACCAUACGUCGAGUUCUCACCGUCUUCGCAAACCUGAACAACAAUACAGUAAUGAUGGAGGAGAUCCAGGCUCGAAUGGAGAAAAUGGAGGGAAAUUUGCAUAUUAUAAGGCUAGAUGAUGGAGAUUCAAUCUUAUGUGACGUGGACUUAGAUCCUCAGUUACCUGAACCCACAGAAAAAUCAGAAACUGAUAUCAAUAAGGUUUUUAUUCUAUCACGCUUAUGAAGAAGAGUGCUAAAUCUGUGGAUUGUAAGGUAAGUAUGCAUUUGCCAAAUAGCUAUCUGCAGUUUUGUUACUGUUUUAAGUGUGGAUUGAACUCUAAUGCUUCUCUUUAUGAAUCUCUCUGCGAUUUUAAUUUCAGUUCACCAUUUGACUA